GAUGAAGAACGUAGCGAAAUGCGAAAAGUAGUGUGAAUUGCAGAAUUCAGUGAAUCAUCGAAUCUUUGAACGCACAUUGCGCCCCUUGGUAUCCCGAGGGGCAUGCCUGUUCGAGCGUCAUUUCACCACUCAAGCCUGGCUUGGUGUUGGGCGACGUCCCCUUUGGGGACGCGCCUCGAAACGCUCGGCGGCGUGGCACCGGCUUUAAGCGUAGCAGAAUCUUUCGCUUUGGAAGUCGGGGCCCCGUCUGCCGGAAGACCUACUCGCAAGGUUGACCUCGGAUCAGGCAGGGAUACCCGCUGAACUUAAGCAUAUCAAUAAGCGGAGGA
rnacentral:misc_RNA from 1 species